rnacentral:rRNA from 1 species
ACUCAAAUGAAUUGACGGGGAGCUGCACAAGCGGUGGAGCGUGUUGUUUAAUUCGAGGCUAAGCGAAGAACCUUACCAGGGUUUGACAUCCUUGGAAUUUCUGUGAAAGCAGAGAGUGCCUUCGGGAACCAAGUGACAGGUGUUGCAUGGCCGUCUUCAGCUCGUGUCGUGAGAUGUUUGGUUAAGUCCAUCAACGAGCGCAACCCUUAUGGAUAGUUGGAUUUUUCUAUUCAGACUGCCCCGGUAACGGGGAGGAAGGGGGGGAUGAUGUCAGGUCUGUAUUACCCUUACACCCUGGGCUACAAACGCGCUACAAUGGCCGGUACAAAGGGCAGCUAAGUCGCGAGACGGAGCAAAUCCCAUCAAAGCCGGUCCCAGUUCGGAUUGCAGGCUGAAACUCGCCUGCAUGAAGCCGGAAUCGCUAGUAAUCGCAGGUCAGCACACUGCGGUGAAUACGUUCCCAGCUCUUGUACACACCGCCCGU